rnacentral:rRNA from 1 species
GAUGAACGCUGGCGGCGUGCCUAAUACAUGCAAGUCGAGCGAACAGAUGAGGAGCUUGCUCCUCUGACGUUAGCGGCGGACGGGUGAGUAACACGUGGAUAACCUACCUAUAUGACUGAGAUAACUUCGGAAAACCGGAGCUAAUACCGGAUAAUAUAUUGAACCGCAGGGUUCAAUAGUAAAAGACGGUUUUGCUGUCACUUAUAGAUGGAUCCGCGCCGCAUUAGCUAGUUGGUAAGGUAACGGCUUACCAAGGCAACGAUGCGUAGCCGACCUGAGAGGGUGAUCGGCCACACUGGAACUGAGACACGGUCCAGACUCCUACGGGAGGCAGCAGUAGGGAAUCUUCCGCAAUGGGCGAAAGCCUGACGGAGCAACGCCGCGUGAGUGAUGAAGGUCUUCGGAUCGUAAAACUCUGUUAUUAGGGAAGAACAAAUGUGUAAGUAACUAUGCACGUCUUGACGGUACCUAAUCAGAAAGCCACGGCUAACUACGUG